rnacentral:rRNA from 1 species
UACGUAGGGGGCAAGCGUUGUCCGGAUUUACUGGGCGUAAAGCGCGCGUAGGCGGAAGGUGAAGCGUGGCCUGAAAGCCCCCGGCUCAACCGGGGAGGGCGGCUGCGAACUGGCCUUCUUGAGGGCGAUAGAGGGGGGCGGAAUUCCUGGUGUAGCGGUGAAAUGCGUAGAGAUGCGGAGGAACACCGAUGGCGAAGGCAGCCCCCUGGGCUAACACUGACGCUCAGGCACGAAAGCGUGGGGAGCAAACAGG